UGUAGGGACCAUUCCACGGUUUCUGUGUCGCAGCUAACGCAUUAAGUUCCCCGCCUGGGGAGUACGGUCGCAAGACUAAAACUCAAAGGAAUUGACGGGGGCCCGCACAAGCGGCGGAGCAUGCGGAUUAAUUCGAUGCAACGCGAAGAACCUUACCAAGGCUUGACAUAUACGAGAACGGGCCAGAAAUGGUCAACUCUUUGGACACUCGUAAACAGGUGGUGCAUGGUUGUCGUCAGCUCGUGUCGUGAGAUGUUGGGUUAAGUCCCGCAACGAGCGCAACCCUCGUCCUAUGUUGCCAGCACGUAAUGGUGGGAACUCAUGGGAGACUGCCGGGGUCAACUCGGAGGAAGGUGGGGAUGACGUCAAAUCAUCAUGCCCCUUAUGUCUUGGGCUUCACGCAUGCUACAAUGGCCGGUACAAAGGGCUGCAAUACCGCAAGGUGGAGCGAAUCCCAAAAAGCCGGUCUCAGUUCGGAUUGAGGUCUGCAACUCGACCUCAUGAAGUUGGAGUCGCUAGUAAUCGUGGAUCAGCAACGCCACGGUGAAUACGUUCCCGGGCCUUGUACACACCGCC
rnacentral:rRNA from 1 species